rnacentral:rRNA from 1 species
UAGGGAAUCUUCCGCAAUGGACGCAAGUCUGACGGAGCAACGCCGCGUGAGUGAAGAAGGAUUUCGGUUCGUAAAACUCUGUUGUUAGAGAAGAACAGCGCAUAGAGUAACUGUUAUGCGUGUGACGGUAUCUAACCAGAAAGCCACGGCUAACUACGUGCCAGCAGCCGCGGUAAUACGUAGGUGGCAAGCGUUGUCCGGAUUUAUUGGGCGUAAAGCGAGCGCAGGCGGUCAAUUAAGUCUGAUGUGAAAGCCCCCGGCUCAACCGGGGAGGGUCAUUGGAAACUGGUUGACUUGAGUGCAGAAGAGGAGAGUGGAAUUCCAUGUGUAGCGGUGAAAUGCGUAGAUAUAUGGAGGAACACCGGUGGCGAAGGCGGCCUGCUGGACUGUAACUGACGCUGAGGCUCGAAAGCGUGGGGAGCGAACAGG